rnacentral:rRNA from 1 species
CCUACGGGAGGCAGCAGUGAGGAAUAUUGGUCAAUGGACGGAAGUCUGAACCAGCCAUGCCGCGUGCAGGAAGACGGCUCUAUGAGUUGUAAACUGCUUUUGUACAAGGGUAAACCUGAAUACGUGUAUUCAGCUGAAAGUACUGUACGAAUAAGGAUCGGCUAACUCCGUGCCAGCAGCCGCGGUAAUACGGAGGAGCCAAGCGUUAUCCGGAUUUAUUGGGUUUAAAGGGUGCGUAGGCGGAUUGAUAAGUUAGAGGUGAAAUGUCCGAGCUUAACUCGGGAACUGCCUCUAAUACUGGUGGUCUAGAGAGUAGAUGCGGUAGGCGGAAUGUAUGGUGUAGCGGUGAAAUGCUUAGAGAUCAUACAGAACACCGAUUGCGAAGGCAGCUUACCAAUCUAUAUCUGACGUUGAGGCACGAAAGCGUGGGGAGCAAACAGGAUUAGAUACCCUUGUAGUC